GCCUUCGUGGCAUUGUGGUCAGCACGUUCGACGCAUAAUCGGGAGAUCCGUGGUUCGAUUCCCGGCGAAGGCG
rfam:Stegodyphus mimosarum contig38219, whole genome shotgun sequence.